rnacentral:rRNA from 1 species
UACGUAGGGUGCAAGCGUUGUCCGGAAUUAUUGGGCGUAAAGAGCUCGUAGGCGGUCUGUCGCGUCUGCUGUGAAAACUCGGGGCUUAACCCCGGGCCUGCAGUGGGUACGGGCAGACUAGAGUGCGGUAGGGGAGACUGGAAUUCCUGGUGUAGCGGUGAAAUGCGUAGAUAUCGGGAGGAACACCAGUGGCGAAGGCGACUAUCUGGGCUGCAACUGACGCUGAGGCGCGAAGGCUAGGGUAGCAAGCAGG